CCCUUAGAUGUUCUGGGCCGCACGCGCGCUACACUGAUGCAUUCAACGAGUCCAACCUUGACCGAGAGGUCCGGGUAAUCUUUGAAACUGCAUCGUGAUGGGGCUAGAUUAUUGCAAUUAUUAAUCUUCAACGAGGAAUUCCUAGUAAACGCAAGUCAUCAGCUUGCAUUGAUUACGUCCCUGCCCUUUGUACACACCGCCCGUCGCACCUACCGAUUGAAUGGUCCGGUGAAAUCUUGGGAUUUUGUUUUGUUUGCAUUUAUUUGUAUCGAGACGAGAGAACUUGAGUAAACCUUACCAUUUAGAGGAAGGUGAAGUCGUAACA
rnacentral:rRNA from 1 species